UCAUCAGAGGUGACGUUGCUCGACUCUUCACCAGCCUCCUCCCCACCAGGGGUCUAGGUUUAAGAAACUUCAAUGCUAAGGAGCACAAUUUUCAAGGACUAAGCAAAAAGUAGCAUCCCAGGUCUGUUAUGACGCAGUAUACUGGCUGACCAUAGGAAGUUGACACAGCACAUGGCUGAUGUCAGCCUGGUGACAGAGCAUACUACAAUCUGCAUAAACACAGAUGUAUGUGGGUGGACGAAUGGACUAAAAAGAUCAGGCAGCCGGAAGUCAGCUCUCUUUGACUCCUGAUUCUUCUCCUGCUCAGAUGCAUCUCAACCAUGACUGCCACUCCUGGGAACUGAUCUCGUGUUCCAGAUGUUAGCAUGAUGCCGACCAAACUUCCCUGGACAGACAACCCCACCAAUGUGUCCUGGAGCUCUGCCUCCUCAGAGCCCUUCCUCACUAGGGAAAGAGAGAGACAGGCUGGGAGUAUGGAUCAACCUGUCAACGCCCAUGUUCAGCAGGGAAGCAAUUAUAACUUUCUGUAUCCCACAAGGACCUUGGGUCCAUACUCCCAUAGGGUUAAAGAAUAGGAAAGGUAUCAGGGGAGGGGAUGGGAUACAGAGAUCUGGUGGUGGGAAUUGUGUGAAGUUGUACCCCUCUUAUCCUAUGGUUAAGUCAAUAUUUCCUUUUAAUAAAUAAAAAUUUUUUUAAAUUGUUUAUCUCAUGGGGCUGAACUUCAUGGACUUUAUGGGCCUAAUGUAUUCUUUUUUUUUUUAAACAAAUGUUUUAAUUUAUGUUUAUUUAUUUAUUUUCCUUUUUGUUGCCCUUGUUGUUUUUUAUUAUUGUUGUAGUUAUUGUUGUUGUUAUUGAUGAUGUUGUUGUUGGAUAAGACAAAGAGAAGUGGAGAGAGGAGGGGAAGACACAGAGGGGAGAGAAAGAUAGACACCUGCAGACCUGCUUCACCAUGCUUCACCGCUUGUGAAGCAACUCCACUGCAGGUGGGGAGCCAGGGGCUCCCAGGCCUAACGUAUUCUU